AGACCCGAAACCCGGUGAUCUAGCCAUGGGCAGGUUGAAGGUUGGGUAACACUAACUGGAGGACCGAACCGACUAAUGUUGAAAAAUUAGCGGAUGACCUGUGGCUGGGGGUGAAAGGCCAAUCAAACCGGGAGAUAGCUGGUUCUCCCCGAAAGCUAUUUAGGUAGCGCCUCGUGAAUUCAUCUCCGGGGGUAGAGCACUGUUUCGGCUAGGGGGCCAUCCCGGCUUACCAACCCGAUGCAAACUGCGAAUACCGGAGAAUGUUAUCACGGGAGACACACGGCGGGUGCUAACGUCCGUCGUGAAGAGGGAAACAACCCAGACCGCCAGCUAAGGUCCCAAAGUCAUGGUUAAGUGGGAAACGAUGUGGGAAGGCCCAGACAGCCAGGAUGUUGGCUUAGAAGCAGCCAUCAUUUAAAGAAAGCGUAAUAGCUCACUGGUCGAGUCGGCCUGCGCGGAAGAUGUAACGGGGCUAAACCAUGCACCGAAGCUGCGGCAGCGACACUGUGUGUUGUUGGGUAGGGGAGCGUUCUGUAAGCCUGUGAAGGUGUGUCGUGAGGCAUGCUGGAGGUAUCAGAAGUGCGAAUGCUGACAUAAGUAACGAUAAAGCGGGUGAAAAGCCCGCUCGCCGGAAGACCAAGGGUUCCUGUCCAACGUUAAUCGGGGCAGGGUGAGUCGACCCCUAAGGCGAGGCCGAAAGGCGUAGUCGAUGGGAAACGGGUUAAUAUUCCCGUACUUGGUGUUACUGCGAAGGGGGGACGGAGAAGGCUAUGUUGGCCGGGCGACGGUUGUCCCGGUUUAAGCGUGUAGGUGUGUGUUCCAGGUAAAUCCGGUUCACUUUAACAC
rnacentral:rRNA from 2 species